CCUACGGGUGGCAGCAGUGGGGAAUAUUGGACAAUGGGGGGAACCCUGAUCCAGCGAAGCCGCGUGAGUGAAGAAGUAUUUCGGUAUGUAAAGCUUUAUCAGCAGGGAAGAAAGAAAUGACGGUACCUGACUAAGAAGCCCCGGCUAACUACGUGCCAGCAGCCGCGGUAAUACGUAGGGGGCAAGCGUUAUCCGGAUUUACUGGGUGUAAAGGGAGCGUAGACGGUUACGCAAGUCUGGAGUGAAAGGCGGGGGCCCAACCCCCGGACUGCUUGGGAAACUGUAUAACUGGAGUGCAGGAGAGGUAAGUGGAAGUCCUGGUGUAGCGGUGAAAUGCGUAGAUAUUAGGAAGAACACCAGUGGCGAAGGCAGCUUACUGGACUGUAACUGACGUUGAGGCUCGAAAGCGUGGGGAGCAAACAGGAUUAGAUACCCGGGUAGUC
rnacentral:rRNA from 1 species